GACGAACGCUGGCGGCGUGCCUAAUACAUGCAAGUAGAACGCUGAAGAGAGGAGCUUGCUCUUCUUGGAUGAGUUGCGAACGGGUGAGUAACGCGUAGGUAACCUGCCUUGUAGCGGGGGAUAACUAUUGGAAACGAUAGCUAAUACCGCAUAACAAUGGAUGACACAUGUCAUUUAUUUGAAAGGGGCAAUUGCUCCACUACAAGACGGACCUGCGUUGUAUUAGCUAGUAGGUGAGGUAAUGGCUCACCUAGGCGACGAUACAUAGCCGACCUGAGAGGGUGAUCGGCCACACUGGGACUGAGACACGGCCCAGACUCCUACGGGAGGCAGCAGUAGGGAAUCUUCGGCAAUGGGGGCAACCCUGACCGAGCAACGCCGCGUGAGUGAAGAAGGUUUUCGGAUCGUAAAGCUCUGUUGUAAGUCAAGAACGGGUGUGAGAGUGGAAAGUUCACACUGUGACGGUAGCUUACCAGAAAGGGACGGCUAACUACGUG
rnacentral:rRNA from 1 species